GGGCUCUAAAGCAUUAUCCUUUCCACCUACCGUCACCAUAUCAUACAUAUGGACUACCCAUGGGAUGAUGUUCCCUAUCGAUUUUGGAGUCAAAGGUCACGCGCACUGGACAUCGAAGUAGCAAUAUAGUUCGGUUUGUCAUGCCAUUUGUUUUUUACACUCAGAAAAGAGGUAGUUUAUACGUAUUACCAACACCCUUUGGGAGAUUGGGGUAAUCGGGGGGUAUUCUUAGUGAGCAUUACUCACAGUACCUCUUGUUUUAACAGGAUGCAUACUAAAACAGACAGCACUAGAUAAGACUAUUAGUGAAUUUAAAAACCAGUUCAUUAUGUUCUGGUAAAACAGGAAAGAUGUGACCUUGGGUCUGUCGGGGAUUGAAACUUUAAAUCGAUUCAACCAUCACUUGAUUAAAGCAAGACCUUUAAAGAUGUUCCCCAAACGCUCCCCCUUCUACUAAGUGGCGUUCCUUUCGUGCACAAUAAAUCAUACUGUAUGUAUAUUAUACACAAAAUCAAUGAAUUUCAAUCUGUUUCCUCUUUUUUUGUACAGUCAUAAAAUUAAAGUAUUUUCGAAUCAAAAUAAAUGGAACGUGGAUGCGUGUGUUGGU